AUUUUGUAUCUAGUAGAAUAGUGAAUUUAAAAAAAUAAUAAUAAAAGUUGUGACACUAAAUAAAAUUCACAAAUUUAGAAUUUAGUAAAUUUGAAAACGUAGAGUUAACGUGUUUCUGCUGUGAUGAACCAUAUGGUCCUCCAAUAGAACUAUAUUGUCCUUCAACAGAGUUAUUUGGCCUUAUAGUACAGAGUUAUUUGGCCUUAUAGUGCAAAAGUUGAUCCACUCCAUGUUAGGGAUAUUUGCGAACUCCUCUCAGUAUCCCCUUCAGCAAUUUGGAAUGCCUUUUAUUUAUCGUCGUAAGUUCAUCAGCCCUUUCUCAUGCAUAACUCUCUUCAUUCAACCUCAUCUUUUGAUAUGAAUGAACAGUAAAGUAGUAAAGCCUUCCUUCUGCAAAAUUUAUUUUUGCUCUCUCCCUUUAGAUAAUACAUUCAACAUUUCAUUUACCGAUCCCUUUUUAUCCUGCCUAUUUUCAGCAUUGAUCAGGUUUGUUUCAUUAAUUUAUUUAUUUCUUGUAGAUCUUUUGCCUUCAGCUAUUGGAUUAACACUGAAUUCAGUAGAAACCAAUGACUUGUUACUUUUAUGAACUUUAUAUUGAUACUUGAUUCCAAUGGUUAUUGCCUGUUCUAAGAUGAUCGUGAAUGUCAAUUAGAUUGUAAACUGCGCCACCAUUCCCUUUUGUGCCUAUGACGUCGAAAGACUUAUAGUAGCAUCUGUCGUUGGGCAUGUCUACUACGAAGGUCCAUGGUUUCUUAUGACACACAUAUUUGCUUGAGAGCAUCGUUAUGUAUGAGUUCCUAAAUAUGUAUUCCUCGCCACUACUUGAUAAUAUGUAUUUUCCAUCACUAUUUAAGUUUAUGAGAUGCUUUGCACAUUCAAGCGUCAACAUCCCAAGGUACGAAUUCCUUUUACCACUCGUUCGGAGUUUAUUGCAUGGGUAAUGUGUCAUUGGUUUGUGUAUACAUACCUUCCUUUUCUUAUGAUUUAAAAGAUUAGAUUGCAAAAUAAAAAAAUUAGCGUAAAUUAGGCCUUUCCACCCUAUUUUGUAGAAAGGGUUAUUUCUAAGUGCAUUCAUCAUGAGCCAAUAGAACUGUCUUAGGAAAUUAUAUUUAAAGGUAAAACUUAAAAGUGGUAUCUUCAUUUUA